AGAGUUUGAUCAUGGCUCAGAUUGAACGCUGGCGGCAUGCUUUACACAUGCAAGUCGAGCGGCAGCGCGGGGGCAACCCUGGCGGCGAGCGGCGGACGGGUGAGUAAUGCAUCGGAACGUAUCCCGUAUGGGGGACAACCCAGCGAAAGCUGGGCUAAUACCGCAUAUGCUCUACGGAGGAAAGUGGGGGACCCGCAAGGGCCUCACGCUAUGGGAGCGGCCGAUGUCCGAUUAGCUAGUUGGUGGGGUAAAGGCCUACCAAGGCGACGAUCGGUAGCUGGUCUGAGAGGAUGAUCAGCCACACUGGGACUGAGACACGGCCCAGACUCCUACGGGAGGCAGCAGUGGGGAAUUUUGGACAAUGGGGGCAACCCUGAUCCAGCCAUGCCGCGUGCGGGAAGAAGGCCUUCGGGUUGUAAACCGCUUUUGUUCGGGAAGAAAAGGCACGUCCUAAUACGGCGUGUUCUUGACGGUACCGGAAGAGUAAGCACCGGCUAACUACGUG
rnacentral:rRNA from 1 species